ACAUUCAUGGAAAGGAGAUACGGUUGGCAUCUCCCCUGACAAGGACAGGAACAGCCUUUGGGCUAACCUGUUACCAACACAUGCUUUUAAGGCUACCAACUUCAGCAGAUCUUACCCAAUUUUUU